AGAUUGAACGCUGGCGGCGUGCCUAACACAUGCAAGUCGAACGGGAGUAGCAAUACUCUAGUGGCGGACGGGUGAGGAAUACGUAGGAAUUUGCCCUUAAGUGGGGGAUAACCCGGGGAAACCCGGAUUAAUACCGCAUGACCUCGAAAGAGCGAAGUGGGGGAUCGCAAGACCUCACGCUUUUGGAGAAGCCUACGUCGGAUUAGCUAGUUGGUGAGGUAAUGGCUCACCAAGGCGACGAUCCGUAACUGGUCUGAGAGGAUGAUCAGUCACACCGGAACUGAGACACGGUCCGGACUCCUACGGGAGGCAGCAGUGGGGAAUAUUGGACAAUGGGCGCAAGCCUGAUCCAGCAAUGCCGCGUGUGUGAAGAAGGCCUUCGGUUGUAAAGCACUUUAAGUUAGGAAGAAAACGUACGACGUCUAACACAGUGAGUCUUGACGGUACCGACAGAAUAAGCACCGCUAACCCUGUACCACGACGACGACCG
rnacentral:rRNA from 1 species